rnacentral:rRNA from 1 species
AAUGAACGUUGGCGGCGUGGAUUAGGCAUGCAAGUCGGACGGGCCGCAAGGCCAGUGGCGCAAGGGUGAGUAAGGCGAAGGUAACCAACCCCGCGGGUGGGCAUAGCCGGGGGAAACUCCGGGUAAUUCCCAGCGACGCCAGGAGUCGGCAUCGGCCCCUGGCCAAAGAUUCAUCGCCGCGGGACGGGCCUUCGUGGUAUUAGGUAGUUGGCGGGGUGACGGCCCACCAAGCCUGCGAUGCCUACCGGGCGUGCGAGCGUGGCCCGGUACACUGGGACUGAGACACUGCCCAGACUCCUACGGGAGGCUGCAGUCGAGAAUCUUCGGCAAUGGGCGCAAGCCUGACCGAGCGACGCCGCGUGGAGGACGAAGGCCUUCGGGUUGUAAACUCCUGUCGAGGGGGAGGAAGCCUUCGGGUUGACCGAUCCCUGGAGGAAGCACGGGCUAAGUUCGUGCCAGCAGCCGCCGUAAUAC